CCGUAUUUUUAUGUGUUGAAGGGCGGGUCCCGUGCGAUCGGUCGCCGUGAACCAUGUCAGGUGGGGAACCAAGCAGCAUUAAGCGGUUUUUCCGAUGUGCCGCGGGGCGGCCUGCCCGGAGCAUAAGGUGCGGA
rnacentral:SRP_RNA from 1 species